UCAAGACUAUUCAGAUUUUUUUGUUUAUUUUGUUUUUGCAGUACUGCAGAUAACCUUCUGUUACUCUGUUACCAUAGUGCAAAAUCACGUUACAAUUUGUGGUUCAGAAAACACUUCAAAUGUGGUAUGUACAAUAUGUACACCUUAGCACAAUACGACCAACUUUAUAACCACUACUACAUCAAACUUCAUUAUUGAUUAACACUAUUACAUUUGUUACUAACAAGACCAUAUAUAUUGUCAGUAAAAUGACUACAAAUAUAUUUUAAAAAACUAAAAAAACUGACAUGUAAACAAUUUAAAGUAUGCGUGCCUUGUUCACAUAUCCGUUUAACUGAAACCGUGGUACAGAGUUAUGCGUGAACAAGUUCACUGGUGCAUCAUGGUCCAAUACUUUGAUCGACACUGUUAAAAACACAGCUGGCGUGAUAGUAAAGGUAGAGUUCACGCCAGUCAGUUACCAUACUCCCCAUAUGACAUUACAAACAGCUCCUCCCCAUAUGACAUGUAUCAAACAGCUCCUCCUUACUUCAACAUCAUAGACAUGUAUCAAACAGCUCCUCCCAUAUGACAUGUAUCAAACAGCUCCUCCCAUAUGACAUGUAUCAAACAGCUCCUCCCAUAGGACAUGACUCAAACAGCUCCUCCCAUAUGACAUUUAUCAAACAGCUCCUCCCAUAUGACAUGUAUCAAACAGCUCCUCCCAUAUGACGUAUCAAAACAGCUCCUCCCAUAUGACAUGUAUGCUCAUUCUAGGGGGGGGUCGUAUUGGUUUAACCCAUAUGACAUGUAUGCUCAUUCUAGGGUGGUGGUGGGGGGGGGGGUCGUAUUGGUUUAACCCAUAUGACAUGUAUGCUCAUUCUAGGGUGGUGUGUGGUGGGGGGGGGGGGGUCAUAUGGUUAACCCAUAUGACAUGUAGCUCAUUCUAGGGUGGUGGUGGUGGUGGGGGGUCGUAUGGUUUAACCCAUAUGACAUGUAUGCUCAUUCUAGGGUGGUGGUGGUGGGGGGGGGGGUCGUAUGUGGUUUAAUCCAUGUGUUUCUCUCCUACACUCUUUGUAAAGACAACGUAAUAUUCACAUUGGUCUCAGCUUUCAGUGGAGGUCCACUGCUUUGAACUCCCUCACUUUUUCUCAGUCAUUUCCCAAAGAUUGAAAUAAAAGGGUUUUAAACUCGGGAUUCUCCAGAACUUCUAGGACUGUUGUUCGUAAUCCAGGGCCCGUAUCCACAAAGCGUCUCAGGAGUAGAAAAUGUGUCGUAAGUGCUGAGAAGAGACAUUUUACUCCUACUCUUACGGGUAAAAUAAAAAAAAAUAAAAGCUAGGCAUUAAACCUAAACUAGUUGACAGAUAUUUAAGAGACCUCAUGAUCUGACCUCACCAGUUAAGAGUUACCAGCAGGUGUCUUGAUCAUAAAAAUAAAAAAAGGCCUGCAACACUGUUAAAUAAUAUGCCUAAGUAAUAUUGGGCCACUGAAGGUAUUCGGGCCUAUGUUAACUUGAUUGGGUGUUGAAAAUGAUAGGUUUUAAUGCAACAUUAUCAGUAAAAGACGUGAUGCCUACAGUAACGUACAAAUACAUUAGAAUAAUCAUCCAGGAGUUCAGAGUGUUAGCGACCAUAUUAUAAAACUUACGCUUUAAAAAAACUAAAAAACAUCAGAAUUGGUAAAAAAAAAAAAAGGUUAGGCAUGCCAACAUAUUAGGCAAUAAUUAGGAGUUAGGCAAAGUGAUCGUGUCAGACAAAUUAUAUCAAGUGUUUUACCAUUGCAACAUUUGAUGUACGGUCACGUUCAUCUGGGUGUCUGAAAACGUGCUAUACAGUUCACAGCUGGCCAUGCCUCUUCGUGAUUGGUUAUUUCCAAUAAUUUACAACGAUGAGUGUCAUCACCAUCAUUCCUUUGCGGUACCUCAAACUGUCGUGACGACCAGCUGAGAUGAACCUUUUUAGGAGUUGAUGUUACUCCUGGUUCAGUGUUUGUCUGGUCAGUGUCUUAACAUCAUAAAACCUACUGUGAGCUGGGGGGCUUUUUUUGGGUCUUAAAAACAGGAUUUAACAGGAUUCCUAGACCCCUUUGAGACACUAUGUGGAUAUGUCCCCUGGUCAGAGGAGAUAUUUCAACUAAUCCCAGUUAAUUCUCUCCUUGACUCUUGAUGAAGACAACACUGCAUUACUGGGCUACAGGGCUAGGACUGAUAGUGCACACCUAGUCCCAGGAACGACCUCUAAGGUCAGGUCAGAGGUCAGGUAAAUUCGGACGAAAAACAAGCAGACUGCAGUUCUCCAGGACUAGAAUAGGGCCACUCCAGAUGGUUGAAGUCAGUUCUCUCGCUCUCUCCCAUCUCUAUCUAACAGAGUUCCCUGCCCUCUCCCUCCUGCCUUGCUUCUUCAGUAGCUGGAUAC
ensembl:lncRNA